AUAUAAACAGGUGGUGAGUUGGGUCUGGCACACACUCUCAGCCAACUGAUCGGUGAUCCUGCCUCACUAUUACUUUAAUCAAGUGUUAGUGUCAUCCCAGUACAGUACAUCAGUCCAACAUGAACUUCUUCCGUGCCGUGGUAAUGUUCCUGGUAGUGGCGAUCUCCUUUGCCACAUUGGCCGAGGCUGCACCUUUCUUUGGUAAACGUGGUCGUGGCGGGCGUGGUGGUGGUCGUCGUGGAGGGCGUCGUGGCGGGAACAUUAACCCAGACCCCUACCUCGUCUUCACACCCGGCUUAGGGAAUCUCUACGGAGGUGUAGGUCCUGCCUUCCUGGGCGGAGUCUAAAACUCUCCAGGAGAAACUCAUGUUUCGCUGGUGUAAUACACAUUUCCGUCGUGCUGUAGCCGCACGGAGUAGUCCUGACGGAGGCCCCGUAGAGGAGACACGGCAGCUAUCAGGUUGUUUUAGGUCCCCACAACAUGGCAUUUGGUCUCCGGGCAUCAGGGCUCCAACGUGCGUCAUUUUGAUGAGUAUCAGAUGACACAGUACGUGGAGCAACUACGUCCCAAGACCACCUUUACCCACAGGCCGGAAAUGUUACAGAGUCGAGUGAAAAAUCUUCAGAUUGUCUCCGACUGGUGACAAAAGCCGACACUUUUUGGCUGUUUAGUGAGUUGAGUCACGAGACGAGAGAAGUCGCCCAGUGCGAGUCUUUCGUGUGGCCCUUAUCAGUGUGUUCCUGACAGUGUUGAGCUGUGAGUAGACCUACGAGUCUGUCUCCAGCUGACAGUGUCGAGCUGUAAGUAGACCUGAGAGUCUAUCUCCAGCUGACAGUGCAGAGCUGUGAGUAACCCUACGAGUCUGUCUCAAGCUGACAAUGUUGAGCUGUGAAUAGACCUAAGAGUCUGUCUCCAGCUGACAGUGUUGAGCUGAGAGUAGGCGCGUGAGUGUCUCCAGCUGGCUUUCUUAAGCAUUGCUUGAAAAUAUCAUUUGGCUAAUUUCAGUUUUGCCAAGAGAUAAUUUACCGUUAAGUCCUACUUGUCUUAUAUCAAAAUAUGUCUAAUGUAAUAUGUCAUAUUAUUUUGUAGGAUGAAUAAAAUUUCUAUAAAGUGUAA